rnacentral:rRNA from 1 species
ACGCUCGACACCUACGGGAGGCAGCAGUGGGGAAUAUUGCACAAUGGAGGAAACUCUGAUGCAGCGACGCCGCGUGAGGGAAGAAGGUCUUCGGAUUGUAAACCUCUGUUGUCAGGGACGAUGAUGACGGUACCUGACGAGGAAGCCACGGCUAACUACGUGCCACAGCCGCGGUAAUCUGAGCGGGCUGGCAAGGC